UCAAAAACCUCUGCUAUUGUGUACAUAGUUUAUACUAAGUGACCCAUAGGUUGAGGAGGCGGUGACCGUGGCGGUGUAAGUGGAAGCGGCGGUGGAGAAAGAGGAGAUAGCCAACACUGUUUAAAUAUGCUAUUGACUGCACCUACCAUGGUGACCACGGGUAACGGGGAAUCAGGGUUCGAUUCCGUACAGGGACCCUAAGAAAUGGCUACCACAUGCAAGGAAGGCAGCAGGCGCGCAAAUAACCCACUCCCGACGCGGGAAGGUAGUGACGA